UGCAGAAUCCCGUGAAUCAUCGAGUUUUUGAACGCAAGUUGCGCCCGAGGCCGUCAGGUCGAGGGCACGCCUGCCUGGGCGUCACGC
rnacentral:rRNA from 1 species